UACGAAGGGGGCUAGCGUUGUUCGGAUUUACUGGGCGUAAAGCGCACGUAGGCGGAUCGAUCAGUCAGGGGUGAAAUCCCAGAGCUCAACUCUGGAACUGCCUUUUGAUACUGUCGAUCUGGAGUAUGGAAGAGGUGAGUGGAAUUCCGAGUGUAGAGGUGAAAUUCGUAGAUAUUCGGAGGAACACCAGUGGCGAAGGCGGCUCACUGGUCCAUUACUGACGCUGAGGUGCGAAAGCGUGGGGAGCAAACAGG
rnacentral:rRNA from 1 species